rnacentral:rRNA from 1 species
UAUCUCUGUAGAGUCUGCAUAUCAAUAAGCGGAGGAAAAGAAACUAACAAGGAUUCCCCUAGUAACGGCGAGUGAAGCGGGAAGAGCUCAAAUUUGAAAUCUUCAAGGUUUGACCUUGACGAAUUGUAGUUUAAAGAAGUGUUUUCGGUUAGAGGAGUAGUAAAAGUUCUUUGGAAUAGGACAUCAUAGAGGGUGAGAAUCCCGUAUUUGACUAUUCUUUCUAGCUUUGUGAUACACUUUCAAAGAGUCGGAUUGUUUGGGAAUGCAGUCCAAAAUGGGUGGUAAAUUUCAUCUAAAGCUAAAUAUUGGCGAGAGACCGAUAGCGAACGAGUACCGUGAGGGAAAGAUGAAAAGAACUUUGAAAAGAGAGUUAAACAGUACGUGAAAUUGUCAAAAGGGAAGCGUUUGACACCAGUGUUGUUUUUCCGAAAAUCAAUUAAAAAUUGAUUCAUGCCAGGUUGUAUUGACCUUAUCAGCUUGCAAUUUGGUUUUGGGUCUCUUUUUGAUGCACUUUUCGGUUAACAAGUCAACAUCAAUUUCCUUUGCUGUAAAAAGGUAAGAGGAAGGUGGCUUCAAUUUCGGUUGAAGUGUUUAUAGCCUUUUAUCUCUGCAGUCGGGGAGAUUGAGGUCUGCAGCGUAGAUCCUUCGGGGCUAGAUACAUUUAUGCUAAGUUAUAGCUUUUCAUAGACAACUUGUUGACUAUGUUUAGUCAUGUAGCUUACUCGUAAGUGCUAUUUUACCUACGCUUAGGAUGUUGAAGACUCUACAGAGAUA